rnacentral:rRNA from 1 species
UACGGAGGGUGCGAGCGUUGUCCGGAAUCAUUGGGCGUAAAGGGCGCGUAGGUGGCGGGACAAGCGUGCGGUGAAAGCUCGGGGCUCAACCCCGAGUCGGCCGUGCGAACUGUCUUGCUUGAGCACUGUAGAGGCAGGCGGAAUUCCGGGUGUAGCGGUGGAAUGCGUAGAGAUCCGGAAGAACACCGGUGGCGAAGGCGGCCUGCUGGGCAGUUGCUGACACUGAGGCGCGACAGCGUGGGGAGCAACAGGG